rnacentral:rRNA from 1 species
UACGUAGGGUGCGAGCGUUGUCCGGAAUUAUUGGGCGUAAAAAGCUCGUAGGCGGUGUGUCACGUCGUUCGUGAAAACCUGCAGCUUAACUGUGGGCGUGCGGUCGAUACGGGCAUCACUGGAGUUCGGGCAGGGGAGACUGGAAUUCCUGGUGUAGCGGUGAAAUGCGCAGAUAUCAGGAGGAACACCGGUGGCGAAGGCGGCUCUCUGGACCUGGAUCCUGACGCU